rnacentral:lncRNA from 1 species
UGGAAUUGAACUUUAUAUAUUGAUGAAUAUUGUGCAUACAACCUCUAGUAUUUACUCAUUUGAUGCUUUCUCUCGAAUACAAGUUAAAACUUAUAACUUUUUGAUCUUCGAUCUUUAGGAUAUUGUAGUUGCAAGUUGAUUUGAACUUCGAUCUUAUGGAACCCAAGGAAAGUUUAAUCUUCCAACUUUCAGAAGUUGUUGAUCUCCAGGUUGAUAUGAACUUUGACGUCUUGAGAGCUUGUAGAAGUUUGAAUCUUCAAUUCUUCAGUACUUCAGAGGUUCAAUUCUUUAUUCAACCAAAGACCCCUUUUAAAAUGAAUGGCAAUGGUCUCUAUUUAUAGAGAAAUUUCAUGGGCUUUAGGUGAACUUGGGCUCAUUUGCUUGCUAGACUUGGACUUGGGCCCAUUUGAUUGUUGGGCUUGGACUUGAGCCCAUUUGUGAGUUGAGUUUGAACUUGGGCCCAUCUGCUUAUUCGACUUGGGCUUGAGCCCAUUUUUUCUGUUGGAUAUGAAUUGAGUUGGGUUGAGUAAACUUAAUUAUCCAAACUCAAACAAAAGUAUAAUCAUCAUCAUAUUUAUUGUGAUGAUGUGGCGUAAUUUAAUUGGUCAAAAUUUCUUGCUCAACAAAUGUCUCCUUUUAGAGAUUUGUGCACGUUUAUAUGAUGGGUGAAUCUUGAAAACGAUAAGCUGAAAUAAGUGAAUUUGUUCUUGGAUUUGGUUCUAGUUAAUAUGUCAAUUUAAUCAUACUAUGCAUUUGGACAUAAGUGUGAUUAAAAUGUUAUACGAAGUUUGGUCAAUUUAUAUGGUGGAGCACACCAAGCUUGAUCGAAGACAAAAAUGGAGAUGGAGAUCCGAUCGGCUGUAACACAUCGAAGACGAAAAUAGAGAUGGAGAUCCGAUCGGCUGCGACACAUCGAAGACGAAAAUGGAGAUGGAGAUCUGAUCGACUGCAACACACCGAAGACAAAAAUGUAAAUAUAGAUCCAAUCGACUGCGGCACAUCAAAGACAGAAAUGGAGAUGGAGAUUCGACCGACGGCAGCACAUGAAAGACCGAGAUGGAGAUGAAGAUCCACAUAUCGAAGAUGGAGAUGGAGAUCCGAUCGGCUGCAACACAUCGAAGAUGGAGAUCCAAUUGACUGCGACACAUCGAAGACGAAAAUGGAGAUGGAGAUUCGACCAACUGGAGCACAUGGAAGACGAAGAUGGAGAUGAAAAUUCGUACAUCGAAGAUGGAGAUGGAGAUUUUGAUGACUGCGACACGUCGAAGAUGCAGAUGGUGACGACUGCGGCACAUCAAAGAUGAUGACGACCGCAUCGAAGAUGCAGAUGAUGAUGGCUGCGACACAUCAGAGAUGCAGAUGAUGAUGACUGUAACACAUGGAGAUGGAGAUUCUGAUGGCUGCGACACAUCGAAAAUGUAGAUGGUGACGGCUGCGACACAUCGAAGAUAAUGACGGCCACAUCGAAGAUGCAGAUGAUGACAACUGCAACACAUCAAAGAUGCAGAUGGUGAUGACUGCAAUACAUGGAGAUGAAGAUUCUAACGGCUGCGACACGUCGAAGAUUCUGAUGGUGACAGCCACAUCGAAGAUACAGAUGAUGACGCCUGCAACACAUUGAAGAUGCAGAUGAUGACGGUUGCAACACAUCAGAGAUGCAGAUGAUGAUGACUGCAACACAUGCAGAUGGAGAUUCUGACGACUGCGACACGUCGAAGAUGCAGAUGGUAAUGGUUGCGACACGUCGAAGAUGCAGAUGGUGACAACAGCGACAUAUCGAAGAUGCAGAUGAUGUCGGCAGUGACACAUCAGAGAUGUAGAUGAUGACGGUUGCAACACAUCGAGGAUGCAGAUGAUAACGACUGCAACACCUAGGAGAUGAAAAUGAUGAUCUUCUCGUCUGCAACACGUGGAAGAAGAUGAUGAUGAAUCCUUUUGGCUACAGCACGUGGGAGAAGAUGAAGAUGAAGAUGAAUCCUUUUGACUAUAACACGUGGGAGAAGAUGAAAAUGAAUCCUCUCGGCUGUAAUACGUGGGAGAAGAGGAAUCCUCUCGGCUGCAACACAUGGAAAAGAUGAAGAUGAAUCCUCUCGGCUGCAACACAUGGAGAAGAUGAAGAUAAAUCCUUCCGACUGCAACACAUGGAGAAGGUGAAGAUGAAUCCUCUCGGCUGCAACACAUGGAGAAGGUGAAGAUAAAGAUCCUUUCAGCUGCAACACUUGAGAGAAGAUGAAGAUGAAUAUCUUUUCAGCUGCAACACUUGCGAGAAAAGGUAGAGCUCGCUACUUUGACUUUGCCCCAUUUGUCCCAUUUCUUUUCUGUUGUAACUGUUCAUGAAUUUCAUUUUCUAUUGAGAUUACAUCAUCACGAUGAAGCAUAAUUUUUUUUUUUCGUGCGACUGAACUUAAAGUAAUCUUUAAGCUGCCUACGUAUCCUUUUUAUAACACAGAGAUCAAGUCAUAACGUAGUUCAAUUGAGUUGUUGUUUUUUUUUUUUUUUUUUUGUUAUUCACCUUUUAAGCUCUUGUGGACUAAGAGCAUCAUGCAAUUUAGGCUUUUGCGAUAAGGAGCUUUACACAUUUAACAAAUAUUUUCGUAAAAAAUUUGUUCACCUUCUUCAUUUGUAGAAUUGGUGAAUAUAAUAAUUUUUGGCUUCACGAUCAAGGGACCUUCUGUGUUUAUGUCAACAAAUAACUUCCUCUUCAUGCGUGAUGAGACACAACUGCGUAUCUUCGCCAUUAUUUUCUUCAUGAAGUGAUUUUACCUUCAAAGUUUUCAUCUCUUUUUCAUGUUGAUCACUUGUCAUUUUAGUCUAUCAAAAACAGAUGUUGAAGGUUGAUAUUUCUUUGAUGUGGAGAUACUUAGCCUUUUGAAAGCUAAAGUUUGAGUGGAAGUAGAUGUUAAACAUUGGUUUUCUUCUUCUUUCAUGGUCAUACUCAAUCUUUGAAAAAUUGAAGAUUGAGUAAUUGAAGGCUUGAUACGAUCAAAGACAAAAGUCCUUUGCUUAAUUUCAUUUGAAUUGUCGAUUUCUUCAGAAGAUGCAAUAAUUGUUGUCGACUUCUGUUAUACUGACAACAUGACAUGCAAGGACUUCUAAUACUUUCUUUGGAUGAUCAUCAAGGAAGCUUCUUGGGAGAAAUUCUUUCAAAGUUAUCGACCGUCGAUGUCGGAUGAAGUCCUCGUCUUUUCCUUUGAUAGGCUUAGACUUCCACAUCUUAUUUCUUUUCUCAUUUUUACGAGAGUUGCUUCCUUUUCCAUGCUUCUGAUGGAAGUGCGACUUCGUUUGUACGAAAAUUGAUUGUCUCCCCUUUUUACGAGUCAUGACUAUCCAUCCUUCGCAAUCAUCUUCAAUAGGCUUUUCUUUGUUUUGAGAUUUCUUUGUCACGAUCCUUUGUUGGAAUCGAACAUGUACAGGUUCAAAAGUCCCAAACUGGACCAAGUUUUUCCAUUAAUCAUAAAGGUGUGUUGAUGGCGGAACACUUGAAGUCAUCUCAAUUGCAACAUGAUUUGUCUGAGCUACUUCAUCCAUAUCUAACUCGAUCUUCUUUUCACGAGCCAACUUUAUAAUCAGCUCCUUCAACACGAAACACUUUCCAACAGGAUGACUAAUGACCCGAUGGUACUUGCAGUAGUUAGGAUCAUCUACUUUCUCUGCUUGUUUCGGUCGUUUGCAUUCUGGCAGUUGAAUAAGUUGCUUCUCUAACAGCUGCUCUAACAUGUCUGCAACAUCAGAGUCAGGAAAUGGAUAAAAAUUUUCUUGUCUUUCUUUAAGGGCGUCGCUUUUCCUCUCUAUCAUGCUUUCCUUCAAAUUUUGUUUCUUUUCUUUUAGAGAAAGAUUUCAAAGGGGUUGCAUGAACAACCAUAGACUCAUUUAUGACACUAUCUGUAAUCUUUUUAGUGUCAUCAAUUUAAUUCUUGUCACUCCUCAUUUUUUGAACCAAAAAAUCUUUUGCUCCUCUACGAGUGAUACUUAGUUCCAUAUCAUGGGCACGAGUCGCCAACUCUUCAAACGUGCGUGGUUUUAUCCCCUGCAAAAUAUAGAGAAGUUCCCAAUGCAUGCCUUGGGUGCACAUCUCGACUACAGACAUUUCUAUGAGCUUGUCUUUGCAAUCCAGGCUUAGAGCUCUCCAUCGGUUUAUGUAGUUGAUGACUGGCUCCCUCUUUCGCUAUUUGCUAUUUGUCAACUCCAUCAUGCUGACGAUACGCUGGGUGCUGUAAAAGCGAUUGAGAAAGUCCCCCUCAAGUUACUCCCAACUAUCAAUGGAUUCAUGUUCCAGGUCGAUGUACCAUUUGAAGGCGUUUCCUUUCAGAGUUCGAACGAACUGCUUUAUCAACAAAUCUCCUCUCGUACUAGGAGUUUCACAUGUUUCAAUGAAGUGAGCAACGUGUUGUCUUGGGUUACCCUUUCCAUCAAACUGUUGGAACUUGGGUGGUUGGUAUCCAUUCGGCAUUAUGAGAUUGUCGAUCCUCUUCGUAUAUGGUUUGGAAUAUAGAGAGAGAGUUUGAGCAAGUCCAUCAUAUUGAGUUUUGAUGGAGUUUGCAAUCAUCUCCUGCAAUUGCUGAAUAGAUAUUGAUGCAAUUGAGGUUGAAUUUUGUGGUUGACUUUCUUGCAUAAUUGUCUUCCUUUUGUCAGUAUUUUUGAUAGUAUGUGUAUGACUUGAUUCAGCAUCAUGACGUUCGAUGUGAUUCUUGAGAGAUGCAAUCUCAUUAUCCUUUUCUUCAACGACCUUCAUGAGCCUGUUGAUCUUCUUUUUAAGCUCAGUCAUUAUGUCUUCACUUGUAUCCACGUCAGUCACCAUAAUCGACAUGAUAUUUGGAUGAGGCAUCUUCUCAUUCGAGCGUUCACAGGAGGAAAUUUGUUCGUCAAUCACAGGAUUUUCUUCGACUAUAAUUCCACCUUUUGGUGGCUUGGACAGUUGCUCCCAAAUGUUCUUUGCGGCCUCAAAGGAUGGCAUUUCCUCAGAUGAUUGAGUCUCCCUUGAGCGGCUGUGAGUAUUUGGCUGCUUGCCGAUGUCAUUUGUUCGUCAAUCGACAUGAUUUCUUUAGAUGUUCUUCAAAAGAGAAAGAGAUGAAAGGUAGAGAUUGUCUCACUGGACGUGUCAAACUGUUCACACGAGAUUUUGAAGAAAUGUAUUUCGUGGAGUUGAACUUUAUAUAUUAAAGAAUAUUGUGAAUACAACCUCUAGUAUUUACUCUUUUGAUGUUUUUUCUCGAAUACAAGUUAAAACUUAGAACUUUUUUAUUUUCGAUCUUCAGGAUGUUGUAGUUGCACGUUGAUUUGAACUUCGAUCUUCUGGAAUCCAAGAAAAGUUUAAUUUUCCAAGUCUUCAAUCUUUCAGAAGUUGUUGAUCUCGAAGUUGAUACAAACUUGCACGUCUUGAGAGCUUGUAGAAGUUUGAAUCUUCAAUUCUUCAGAGCUUCAAUUCUUCUUUCAACCAAAGACCCCUUUUAAAAUGAAUGACAGUGGUCUCUAUUUAUAGACAUUUCAUGGGCUUUAGGUGAAAUUGGGGUCAUUUGCUUAUUGGGCUUGGAUUUGAGCCCAUUUGCGAGAUGAGUUUGGACUUGGGCCCAUUUGAUUCUUGGACUUGGGCUUGAGCCCAUUUGUUUUGUUGGAUCUGAAUUGGGUUGGGUUGAGUAACUUAAUUAUCCAAACUCAAACAAAAGUAUAAUCAUCAUUAUUUACUGUGAUGAUGUGACGUAAUUUAAUUGGUCAAAAUUUCUUGCUCAACACUCACAUUUUUGUAUUGUUUUCCAUUCUAAAUUAAUUCAUCUAUGAUUUAUAGAGAUUUAUCUCUUACAUAAUUUAAAGCAUAGUAUUAGAAUAAUGUUGAAAAUCAUUUUAUCUAUUUGUUAAACUUGUUAAUAAUCCUAUAUGAAAUUUUCAAAAAAUUGAUAUUUUAUAUAUUGAAUAUAUGUAAAAAAGAAUAGAAAAAAACUGUCACAAAUAAUAAAUUCGACAAAAUAUUUACUAGAUUAUAUUAAUAAUAGAUAUUGAUAAGCCCUUAUAUGUUUAGUGACAUUGAUCGAUCUAUCGAAUAUCAAAUUUUAAAAUACUUUAUAAAUAUUUUAAUUAAUUUGGCUAUUUUUAAUAGUAAUAAUAAUAAAAAAAAAACAAUAUAACACAAACAAUUAUACUUAUAUUGUACUCCAAAAUUACAAGUUCCUAAACAUAAAUUAGAGUUAGUUGGAGUUUGGUUUAGAGAUAAAAUUUAAAACGGGAAAAAGAAAGAAGAAGAAAAAAGAAAGAAAUGAAAAGAAGUAAGCCUGAUGUCACAUGUGAAGCUUUGACCCCAAAAAUCACCCGCAAAAUUGCGCCAAUACGUGCCACGACUCCUUUAGCAUGGCCCAGGAGUAGCCCAACGUGGUCCCGAGACAGCCCAAGGGUGACCAGGACAUAUGCCCACAACAUUGGCAGGCACCUCUCGAGGACAGCUCACAGGCCCCGCACGCGUGCCACGAAAAGGGUUGCUUGCAAAGAGUACAACUAAUGCUCGAGCGGGGAUUCAACUGGUAUGCCUCCCCUAUAAUACAUUUUGAACAUUUUCAGCUCUGGCAGGCUUGCAUAUGAAAAUGCCGAAACGUCACACCCAAGCUUUAUGACCUAGAAUGAAAAGCAAACACCUAUGGUGGGAUUUUAAUUUCCAUAUUAAUCAAUUAACAUGCAUACAAUACAAUAUAACCUUUAUAUCAUACAUUUUAAUGCAUGAACAUGUUAACCUAUGGUGGGAUUUUAAAUCUAUAUGACAUUCAAAAUGCACAUACAAAUUUAAAGUAAUUUAAUCAUACAUCACAUGCAUAAAUAAAAAA